rnacentral:lncRNA from 1 species
AAAUACCCUAAUCCGUUGCAGCCGGGUCCUGCACCAACGCUCCAGCUUAAGGACGGUGGCAGCGAGCCAGGUCUGGUGCCAAGCUCGGCGACUGCGCCCGUUGAAGGUACAGAUCCAGCCUCGACCCUCUUGUCCCGGCAUUCUAGUUGCCCCGAUGGAUCUUGUUCUCAACUACGAACUUGUGGGGCAGGUUCUCCAAGGUACUCUGUUCCUACGUCUAGAUGAAAACCUCACUCCAUUUUUGGUCCUUCCCCAACCAGCCCAUUCUCCAGACGUCGCCCGAACCCCCACAUCUAGCUCCGCCAUCUGGGAACGUCGAAGAAAAAAAUCUUCACUCUUCACGUAUGCUUGCAUGUGAGGUUGCUACCAAUUUUCAUACAGUUGAUUCCAUAGCAUUUAUUCAGGAAAUCAUUUUGUUCAACUUUUACUGCAAAUUGUCCAUUUCAUCUACUCCUCAUAGGCAAGUACAUAAUAUUGUACAUCUACGCCGAAGAAGCAAAUCUCCUCUGCAUCGUAAAGAGAUUUGUACUUGGACAGUCUGAAAGUACCAAAUAGUCUGCUAAUAUUAUGUACCAAAUUUUAGACUUGUGCUGGGACAGUCUGAAAGUACUCUACAAAGGAAAAUUUCAGACUCGAGCUUAGAUAAUCUGG